rnacentral:rRNA from 1 species
GACGAACGCUGGCGGCGUGCUUAACACAUGCAAGUCGAACGGAAAGGCCCUGCUUUUGUGGGGUGCUCGAGUGGCGAACGGGUGAGUAACACGUGAGUAACCUGCCCUUGACUUUGGGAUAACUUCAGGAAAAUGGGGCUAAUACCGGAUAGGAGCUCCUGCUGCAUGGUGGGGGUUGGAAAGUUUCGGCGGUUGGGGAUGGACUCGCGGCUUAUCAGCUUGUUGGUGGGGUAGUGGCUUACCAAGGCUUUGACGGGUAGCCGGCCUGAGAGGGUGACCGGCCACAUUGGGCCUGAGAUACGGCCCAGACUCCUACGGGAGGCAGCAGUGGGGAAUAUUGCACAAUGGGCGGAAGCCUGAUGCAGCAACGCCGCGUGCGGGAUGACGGCCUUCGGGUUGUAAACCGCUUUCGCCUGUGACGAAGCGUGAGUGACGGUAAUGGGUAAAGAAGCACCGGCUAACUACGUG